AAAGACAAGACUUUCUUGAGCACGAGGUCACCUUCUCGGAACACACGAGGCUUGACCUUCUUAUCGAAUGCUUUCUUCACUCUCUGCUGAUGUAACUGACCAUGACACAUGGCAGUUAAUCUCUUCUUUUCGAUCAGAUUCAGUUGGUCGUAGCGACUCUGAAUCCAUUCAGCAUCAGUCAACUUGGGACUUUGAGGGUGCUAUUUCUCUUUUGUUUCUUUCUUUCUUUUUUCUUGAUUUUGAUUUUGAUUUUCCACCCUUCUCUUUUUUUUUUGAUUUCAUUUGUAAUGCCCCAGUUGGACUGUUUUGCUGAUUCUUGAGAUGCAGCUGAGUGAUCUUCUUUUCUUGCUCAAGAAGUCGGGAAAUCUCGUCAGGAAUCCUUU
rnacentral:lncRNA from 1 species